rnacentral:tRNA from 3 species
GGGCGCGUAGCUCAGGCGGUCAGAGCGCAUCCCUGAUAAGGAUGAGGCCGCUGGUUCGAGUCCAGCCGCGCCCA